rnacentral:rRNA from 1 species
UACGGAGGGUGCGAGCGUUGUCCGGAAUCACUGGGCGUAAAGGGCGCGUAGGCGGCGCGACAAGUCAGGCGUGAAAGCCCCGGGCUCAACCCCGGAACUGCCUUUGAUACUGCAAAUCUCGAGUCCGGAAGAGGUGAGUGGAAUUCCUAGUGUAGAGGUGAAAUUCGUAGAUAUUAGGAAGAACACCAGUGGCGAAGGCGGCUCACUGGUCCGGUACUGACGCUGAGGUGCGAAAGCGUGGGGAGCAAACAGGG